GGUGGGAUCCGAAAAUUAGACCUUAGAACAUUUAUGUUAGCUUUAGGAGAACUUAGGACUUAGGCGGCUAGACUAUCGAGUUCUGUAACGUUUACUGCUUUGUUCUCUUGUUCUCCAUUUUUUAACGAAUUCAUGUUCAUCCUGUAUUAGUGAAACUAUGUAAACUACUCAUUUUUUUAAUCAAUAAAACGUCUCUGUGCAAUUUCUUACGAUAUUUUGUUAUCUCUCUCUUUUUUCGUAAUCAUGUGCUAGCGCACGGAAUCCGGAUCCUCAAGAAAAAUCAAGAAUCUCGACUUUUCCCAUUUACUAAAAUCGACAGUGCGAAUUUCGGUUCCCACAGGUUCCUUUGUGAAAAAGAUCUGAAAAAAAAAAAUCAAAUGUCAUUCUUAGAUCCAGUCAGAUUCAUGCUUAGCUUCUCCAAGCACACAUAACUUUUUUAACAAAGGUUACCCAAUUGUUAUUGAUCAAGAAUCAUGGAUUUGAGUAACUCCAAUAAGCCUUUAAAUAUUGAAAUCAAAAAGUUGGAAGUUUGGGAUGAAAUGAGAGAGAAAGUGAAAGAGAACUGAUUUGUGUGUGUGUAAGUGUUAAUUCAAGGUGCAUUUAGAACUUUGUUUGAUUGUUAAUAGUGGUUGGUGUAUUGAUGACAGUAGCAAUUUGGUAUAUUAUAACAAU
rnacentral:lncRNA from 1 species